AGCCAUCAUAGUAUAGUGGUUAGUAACACCAACGUUGUGGCCGUGGAAACCUCAGUUCGAUUCUGGGUGAUGGCA
rnacentral:tRNA from 1 species